CACCGCGGUUAUACGAGAGGCCCAAGUUGACAGACACCGGCGUAAAGAGUGGUUAAGGAUUAGACUUACUAAAGCCGAACGUCCCCCUGGCUGUUAUACGCACUCGGAGGAAUGAAGCCCCACUACGAAAGUGGCUUUAUUAUACCUGAACCCACGACAACUAAGAAA
rnacentral:rRNA from 1 species